CAGCCGCCACGGUAAUACGUAGGUGGCAAGCGUUGUCCGGAAUUAUUGGGCGUAAAGGGCUCGCAGGCGGUUUCUUAAGUCUGAUGUGAAAGCCCCCGGCUCAACCGGGGAGGGUCAUUGGAAACUGGGAAACUUGAGUGCAGAAGAGGAGAGUGGAAUUCCACGUGUAGCGGUGAAAUGCGUAGAGAUGUGGAGGAACACCAGUGGCGAAGGCGACUCUCUGGUCUGUAGCUGACGCUGAGGAGCGAAAGCGUGGGGAGCGAACAGGAUUAGAUACCCCAGUAGUCCCUGUCUCUUAUUA
rnacentral:rRNA from 1 species